AUGAUGACUAAAUUGGCGUCUGACAAACUUCAAGAUAUUCUUGACCGGAAGGCUCAGUUGGAGAUCUCCACUGAAGUUAAUCAGAUCUUAGAUGUGCUUUUCAGUCUCUUUGAUGUCGAGAUGACAACAGCAGAUCUACAAACUACUCUCAUCGGGCACACCGUGAACUUAUUGCGGCAUGACGAGUCUGUUGGCACCGUUGCUCAGUGUUUGAUUCGCAAGUGGAAGAACAUCAUAAUCGAUGAAAUGGAAGGGGGAGAGUCAUGCUCAGAUAGUGAUGAAGUUUCUUGCGAUAGUGAUAGCAAUCAGUCGGAGCCCUCUGAUACUGAUUCUGUUUCCUGUGAUUGUGAUAGCUGUCCGUCAAAGCUGCAUGAUAGAAGGAGCAACCUUUUAAAAAUUUGUACCAAAGCCACUCCCCUUGUUAAACUUAUCCGGGUGGAUGCCCAAAAGUUACCAGCCAUUAUGAACACUGACAACCAAGAGGGAAAGGUCAUCAACCAAGUUCAAGAUGCGGAAGCCUCUGGUUCAGGAUUGUUAGAGUCCGAGUGUCCGGCUGCCACAUACCCCUCAUCAAACCGGAAAGUCAAAAAUGAUACGAAGUUCGCUCUAGUUGAGCACGACAAGAACUACUGUCCUCAUUUUCGUGUGAGUAUUUCUACUAUCUGUAAAUGUAUACCCUUUUCCUUCUUUGUAAGGGGAAGAGGAAGUAUUGAGAUCAUAUUUCCGCCCAGCAUACAUAUCUGAUCAUUAUGCAUCACUUUUUUUGGUAGCAUUUAAGUUUUACAUAGGUCAUAAUUCCCUUUCAACUUCAUUAUAUGGUUUAAUUUAGAGCUCUGAAGAGCUUUUGGGUCCACAUUGUGGGCUAUCGUCUUAGCAGGGGCCCAGAAAGUUCUUUGUUUUCUUCUCAAUCAAGUUCACUUUUACAAAAUACCCUUUUAGUGAACAAGCUUAGUUUGUAAAAGAGACACCUCUUUAAUAAAAAAGUAGCGCCCUCAGCAUUUCUCCUCACAAAAAAGUAGCAUGUUUGGCCAAUUUUUCUACUAUAGCCAAUGUACUAGUUAGUCUAUUUCACUAAAAUUAACGCCGUUUCCUACUUUCAGAGAACUCAAAUGAAAAUUCAGUUAAUUGAAAAAAGAUAGAAAGAAAAAUAAAAUUGCUCCCUUGAGGAAUUUCUUGUUCUCACUCAUCUCGCUGCUUCCACCAAAAUGCAUGGGAGUGCGCUCCAUCAUUUUCUGGACCCCUGUGGCUCUUGAUGAUAUUUUUUUAAAUAAAAGUUUCAUAUUUGUAUUGUUUAGGUUUCAUCGAAAAAAAAACAGACAUUCUUGUGAACCUCUAAACUUGAUCAAUCAACUUGAUGGUGAUAAGUUGAAGGGUUCUCUAAGAAAAAUCUUCUAUUUUGAAAAUGACGAUUAAUACACCCGGUAAUCCAGACCAUCCGCGCCUGGCUUUUUUUCCGGAUCAGUUCAAGGAUCACUGAGGCAAGAAAAGAAUUGACUCCAAAGAAUCGGAAUUCAAUUAACUUGAAGCCUUCCUGACCUCUUUUGGAAGGUAAAAAGGGAGUUCAGAUUUUAAAAGUCAAGGUCUCAGGCAGGAGUGAGUCAAUUUUGGACUCUUUUGGGUCUUUUUAAUUUAAAAUUUUCUAUGCUUUUCGAUUUCAGCAGAAUUUAAGUCAGGCAGGCUUCGUGUUCAUGAAAAUUAGGAUUCUUUGGUGGGGAUUUCCUUUUCUCUCCUGCGCUCCCGACCUCAUUCUACCUGACAUAACCGAAAAAAAGCCUGGUGUGAGUGGUCUGGGUCUUCCUUUACUGAAUCAGAGGGAAGACGUUGUGCUAUAAGUACUAAGGAGUCCUUUCUGUUCUGACUUUUAUAAUAAGAAACCUCUUAAAGAAGUUAUUUUUACCUCUAUGGAAAUCUGAGCACCCUUUAGACACUUCUUUACCAGGAUCCUAGUUUUUAACCUAAAUUACCAUCGGUCGUUUAAUGCCAAAGAUUCUAAUGAUUUAUUGUAAGUUUUAAAACAUGGAUAUGCUGUGAUCGUAUUCAGACCAAAUCUAAAUGCCAGAUUUCUUGAUAAGUAGCAGAAUAUUAGCUUCUUUUUUAGAAUGUUUACACUUUGCUAUAAUGUGGAAGACUUUUCCGCUUGGCACAUCAUCUUGAGAACAAUAUUCGAUAACUUUUGUUCCCUAAGUUAAACCAUGCAAAAUGGGUAAAGUUUUGUACUUCUACAGUGAGAUAGAAAAUUUACCAUCUUCAUAUAUAAGUAUUAGAACGGUAAGAAUCAAAACAGUGGAUUUUCUGCCUCACUUCAGAAAAACUAAAACUUCUUUGGCUAGGACUUAAUAAAAAUUGCACUUUUUUUCAGGUAUUUUAUAGGUUAAGUAUAUCUACAUAUUGUAAGUUUUUUUGUUUUAAUAUAAAUUGUGAUACUCUUUCUAAAUAUAGCAUUUCUUGAAAAAAAUGGUUUUGUUUUCAUCGCAAUUCUUCCUGCAUAGAUUGUUGAAAUUUCUUUUUUUUCUUACAAGACAAGACAAAGGCUAAAGUGAAAUGGAGCUUUUUGGUUGGUCAGUAGCAUCAUUGUUUGCAUUAUCUGCUGUAUCUCUGUAGGCAGAACAAUCGGUUGGCUAAAGACAGCUCCUCGGUGGUCAACGAAUUUUUUUACUACUUUUUCCGAUAAAAGCAUAACAAACAAACAAAUAUAGUGAUGCAACUUAUCGACUGCAAAGAUCUAUUUGGUUCACAACAGUCAUGUCUUGUCCUGGAGGCAAAUGCAAAUUUGUAAUAAUUGACUGGCAUCUUAGGUCAACCAGUCCCAAUUAUCCUAGAUACCAAGAAAGAAAAUAAUAUAAUGGUCAAUUACAAAUUGCAGAAUACCAUUGUUCAAGGAUUGAAAAAGAAGAAUAUUUACAUGAGUUUUUUUUUUUUUUUUUUUUUAAAAAGUUAUAAUUUGAUCUUAACCAAAGAGGUUCGACCAACAGGAUGGAAUACAUAGUAUAAGUAAAAAAAGGAAAUUUUUGAGGAGACAAUUAAAUUCGAUGAAUAUGUGAUUGUAGCAAAAAGUCUGAAUAACCUCCGAGGAUUACUUUUGUUUUCACUUUAGAGCAAGAAACCUCUAAGACCUUAUUUCAGUCCAUCACCCACAGAGAUUAUCUUUUUUUGUAAUUACUGUCCUAAUUUUUAUAAAAUUAAAAAAAGGAGAUGUGACAUGCUCUCCUUAAAACAGAUGUAAGUUUCUUUUCUGAUGAUUAAGUUUUAAAUCAUUGAAUAAAGUUUAAUUUACAAAUAAGCCUUGAAGUUGUUCUUCUUUGACAAACAACGGACAAUAAUACACUAUUUACAGGAACGCCUUCAAAACUUAUAAUAUGUCUUACUUAAAUCGUCACUCAGUUCUUCCAGUGUUCGAUGAGUAAAUGACAACAAUCAACUUUUGAACUCAGUCAG
rnacentral:lncRNA from 1 species